ACUAGCAGUAAGAGUUUGAUCAUGGCUCAGAACGAACGCUGGCGGCAUGCCUAACACAUGCAAGUCGAACGAGACCUUCGGGUCUAGUGGCGCACGGGUGCGUAACGCGUGGGAACCUGCCCUUAGGUUCGGAAUAACUUCCCGAAAGGGAUGCUAAUACCGGAUAAUGUCUUCGGACCAAAGAUUUAUCGCCUUUGGAUGGGCCCGCGUAGGAUUAGCUUGUUGGUGGGGUAAUGGCCUACCAAGGCGACGAUCCUUAGCUGGUCUGAGAGGAUGAUCAGCCACACUGGGACUGAGACACGGCCCAGACUCCUACGGGAGGCAGCAGUGGGGAAUAUUGGACAAUGGGCGAAAGCCUGAUCCAGCAAUGCCGCGUGAGUGAUGAAGGCCUUAGGGUUGUAAAGCUCUUUUACCCGGGAUGAUAAUGACAGUACCGGGAGAAUAAGCUCCGGCUAACUCCGUGCCAGCCGCCGCGGUAAUAC
rnacentral:rRNA from 1 species